rnacentral:rRNA from 1 species
UACAGAGGAGCCAAGCGUUGUCCGGAUUGACUGGGCGUAAAGCGCACGCAGGCGGGUGGGCGCGUGGGGUGUGAAAUCUGGCCGCUUAACGGCCAGGCGCCAUCCCAUACGGCGCGCCUGGAGCCUUGCAGAGGUCGGUGGAAUUGCCGGUGUAGUGGUGAAAUGCGUAGAGAUCGGGAGGAACACCCGUGGCGAAGGCGGCCAGCUGGGCCGGACCUGACGCUGAGGCGCGAAGGCGUGGGGAGCGAACGGG